rnacentral:lncRNA from 1 species
UUGUGUUGGAACAUGGUCUUAGUCUGACCAAUUAUGGGAAAUCCUCAGAGUAGAUUCGCUCCAAGAGAAACAAACUUGGAUGAUGAGCACCCCCAAGUUCCAGGUACCGAAUCAAAUGUGGACGAUGGGAAGCCCCAAGUUGCAGAAGAGACAUCUUCACCAGCAGUUGAAGACAUUCCUUCUACCCAUCCCAAAACAAACUUUGAUGAUGAGCUCCCCACUGUUCCGG